rnacentral:lncRNA from 1 species
UCGAUAUGAGAAUUUGAGGAUUUUUCAAACGGCGUCCCAAUUUGUUUAAAUAGUAGGAAAGUCCUCAAGUCUGUGUAAGUAUCCUUUGCUUAUUUGGUUAUGUAGUUUAGUCUUCUUUAAACCCUCCUACCCCUCCCAACGAAUCUACGACCUGCCACCGCACAAAAAAUGAGCUGCCGUUCGCAUGAAGGUUUGCGUGUCUGUUCCUUCUGCUAGCCCCAUUUCGACUCCCCAGUAUCUCUAUAGAUAGUCUUUCCUUGAUCCCAUUAGAGCAGACAGGUAAAACGCUUCAACUGUCGCCCUAGAACGUGGGGCAUGUCUUUUUUGCCUCCCUCAGACCCCAUUUGCAUGUUCCCACUACCAUGUCCUUUUAGCCUCCUUUCGGUCUCAUUUGUACUACAACUGUUAGGCAGUGCCCGUCUUGGGUAGCCGAUCUCAGUUUGUGGUGCAGGUGUUUCCGAUAACAUGGAAGCUCGACUCGUGUCAUGUUUUGUAUGCCCACUGUUACAAGUCUAGCUUGUAGACAUGUUCAACUAGUAGUUAGCCUAUCUACUAGUCCCCAAUGUCUUUAGCCACCCCCCACUUAGUGUUACAUUUGUAACGUACACCCUGAAGUUUGACCUGAGUAGAUAUCGCCCCAGUCUUCCCAUGUAGUUUAGCCCAGAUUCCUCUUGUCUUGCCCCCCCGAAACUGUUUCAUGUCUGUUAGUGCCCCCGAAACUGUUUCAGUCUGUUAGUCCCCAUGAAAGAGCCCAUUUUUGUAGUUUUUGUUGCAGAAUGUUAAUAAUUUUUCCAAAGAGGUGUAAGUAUGUACACAUUUUGUUGUGAUGUUGAUUUGGUCGUGCUGUUGAUUGUAUAGGCAUGUACCAUUUCAUACAUCAUAGUGUAUUUAACUUGUAACCCCAUAUGUAUACUGGUAUUGUAUUGUAUUGUAUGUAUCGUAGAACAGAAUUGUAUGUUAUUUUAGCGUACUAACUGUAUUGUAUUGAUAUUGUACCCAUGAUGAAAGCAUUGAAUUGAUUUUUUUGAAAGUAUUGAUGAAAUAUAUAGACAAACAGUUGAAUAAAAAAGUAACGUAAAAUUUUUUUUGAAAAUUUUGAUUAAAAGUAACGUUAAAUAUUUUGAAUAUUGAAUCCAAUUAUGAAGUAUAACAGUAUGUUGUAUUUUUUGCAUGUAUUCCUAUAGAUCAACAGUUUUUUACAGAAUAACCGUUUUUUGUGAUUAUUGAUUUGGUCAUUUGAGUAGAUGUGUAAUGUUGUUGGUAUGGUCCGUGUAUGAGCUUAGCCCCGUAUAGUCUGUGUGAGAGUAGUCCCUUGUUUUUCCAGCGAAGCCUAUCUCUGUUGGUGUAUGUCAUGCCACAGGUUAGUUGGAGAAGUCAUCCCAUUGAGAAGUCAUCCCCUUGAGAAGUGGCCCCGUGAAGAAGUGAAGAGGGAAACCGUGGAGAGGCCCCCCACUUCUGUGUUUUUUUCAAGCAGCCAGGAGAAAAGCUGUCACUUUUAGAUUUGAAGAUAGCGUUCUCUGUCGACACUGUUUGAGAAUAACUGUCUUGAAGUGUAGAAGUUAGCCCCUGAAAAAGCCCCCCCCUUGUCUGUGUUGCCCCUUGUUUUUUUUUUUGACUAAUCUAUCUUUGUAGGUGUCAAAAGGAUGCCAGAGGUUAGUUAAAAAGAGCCCGUGAAGUAGUAGUUGAAGUCUCCCCCCUGUGAAGUGAAGUAGUAGAAGUCCCCCCGUGAAUGAAGUAUGUCUUUUUGUAUCUGACAUGUCACAAGUGUAAUACUCGUGAUGAAGGAAGUGUUGUUCAGCUAUCUGUGAACACUUUCAUUAGUAGUCGGAGCAAGAAAUGUCUUAUCCCGUGUGAGCUCAUAUAGGAACCAAAUUUCAAUAUUGUUUGUGUUUGUAAGCCCCUGAGUAUAUCUAGAAGUCAAAAAGUAUGUUGUUGUCUGUUUGUUUGUCUAUCCCUGUUUAGUCUGGAAAUUUUAGAGUCUGUUAUCCCGUAUUGUUCUGUUAGCCCCUGUCCAUGAUAGAGUUUGAUUUUUUUGGCGAAUAGUUCGUUGACCUCUCUUGUGUUUGUUUAUUGAAAGUAGGCUAAGAGCAGAAGCUGUGACAAGGCUGGUGAGCUUAGGAUCUGGCCGCGUUGAGUACAGGUGAAGCUUGCUUUCGGUGGAUAAAUGGAAGUGGUCGUUCGUCGGAAUUGUCAUUCUUUCCAAUGUCCCUUUGGUCUUUCCCUUGUGUUUGCUUUCAUCCCUGUUUUGAAAAAGUAGUCUAACCCCAGUUUGGAAGAGUGAAGUCUACUCAUGUUUUGGAAAAAUAAAGUCUACCCAUUGUUUUGGAAAAGUAAGAUCUACUCAUGUUUUGGAAAAGUAAGAUCAUAUCCCCGGUUUUGAAAAGUGAAGAAUAUCCCAGUUAGUGAUUUGAAAAUGAGAAAGUUGUCUGGUGAACUUUCAUGAAAAGCUUUUAUGUCCUAGAUUGGACUUUGGAUUGGAAACGUAAUGAUGUAGUAUUUCCUAUGUCAUGUGUUACGUUAUUUUUUUUUGAUCUUAUUAAAUGGUUUGAUAUCCCGUUUGAAUCCAGUAUACUAGUUUUUUUUGGUCUUUUAUGUUGUCACACGCAUUCCCCCCUGUUUGGUCUUGUUUGAAUGAGUUGUUGAGAUAAGUUAUUUGUGACAUUUUAUCUCAACGAGGUAUUUAGAAUGGAUUGUCUAAAUCCUCCUUUUGCAGAACCGUUGCCGAAUGUCCCGUGAAACUCGCUAGGUGUUUAGAGUUUAAGCAGAUGCCUAUCUGCUGAGCCAAGAGCUCAGAAAGAUUUUUUUAGUUUUUGAAAACCAAUCUUGGUUAGGCAACGAGGUGAUGAGGCUGUGUCUGCCCUGCUAUAUGGUAUGUAUUAUAUGGUAUAUAUAAUAUGUAUAUCACUUGUGUUACUGUCGUGGAUGUCAGCGAGGUCCACACAGGGCACAAGAUUAUUUCUUUCCCAAGACACAGAAACUCCUGUCACCUACAGUUCUCAGUAGAGUCUUUAAACAUUUAAGUCUACUCGACUUUAAAGAGUCUGGCGAUUGAUGGCACGCUAGCCCACUCCCUAAUGAUGUUUUGUUUUUGUUUAAUCCCCACUAGCCAUUAUUUAAAUAUUUUAGUAUUGUUUAUCCUGUCAUACCCAAGAAGUCAAUGUUUUUUUUGUUGUUAUCGAAAACUGAAUAGUUAAUCCAGUUUCCUCUCUUCCGAGGAGGCUAUUGUAGCAGAUGGAUUUCUACUACAAUGUUUUAUAAAAAAAUAUCCAUUAAUUUUAAUCCUAUCCCAAGAAAAAUAUUAAUUUUUCUAAUAUAUUUUGCGAGUUUAUAUAUCUUUAAAAUUUCCUAAGCCGCUCCUGUUCGCAUUGUAAAGGUUAGGAAAUUUCCUAUUUAUUUGUGUAGCAAUAACCAACUACGUAGAUUGUUAUUGAAAACAUCCAUUAUUCGAGAAUGAAUCCUCUAAAAGGUUCAGUGUUUUUCCUUUAAGUUUUGAGCGCUAAAAAUCCCAUGUUAUUAUUGGUCUGCAUUUUGAAAGAUCCUUGAGUUGUAGUUGAGGAUUGGUCAAUAGUUUUGGCCGAACGAUCGAGAAGAAAUGCAUCGUUUGGACGCGAGAGAGACGUGACGAUGUAAAGUUAGUUCUAAAAGUACAUCAGCUCUGUAAGCAUCUUUUUGUUAGAACUCAACUAACAGACUCGCAGAAAGUCGCACUUUGCCGGCCAAAAUGGUUUUCUUCUUAUAGUAAAAGAACUAAUGGAUUUCUAACAUGUCAAGGAAUAUAAUGACAAUAGUUUCACGGCAUUUUAAUGGAUAUAUUAUUGUGAAACAGUUCUAUUGUUAUGCAGUUUGAUUUGCCGGUAAAAGAAGUGCGUGGUUUCCUGGUUCCUGUCCUUUAUGUAGCUGUUGCUAUUUUUAUGAUGUUUUGAUUUGUUCAUGUUCCAGUAAGAAAUGCCCAGAUGAUAUUAUUUGGUAUCGAUUUUAUCCAGUUUUGUAAUGAUUUGAAUAUCUUCCCCUCCCAGCCCCGUCUGAAUGGAAAAUUUUGAAGUUCCAAGUGUUGUGACAUGGAUUUUUGUUUUAACAAGGUAUGAUAAUGUUUAUUUUAAAUAAUUCACAAGUGGAUAUUAUUGGUAAAGGUUUUACAUAAUUAAAAAUGUUUGUUUUCAACAUGGAAAAUAUAUUAUGUAAAGUAAAUAUUAGAUGGCAGUGACAUUUGACAGCCAUGUCAAAUUUUUGUUUUGGUACACUGCUAAAAAUAAGGUUAAAAAUUGUAAAAUCAUGUAUUUUGUUAUUAUUAUUCAUUUCUGGUUUGAGAAUGUGUCUAUUCUCAAUAAAAAUAAAAAGGUAUUAAGGUUUAAAUAAACACUAUAAAAUGUACACAUCUUUAUUUCUGUAACCUCUUUAUUUAAGAAAAUUAUUAACAGAUAUCUAAUACAAGUGAAUAAGUUUUAGAACAGAAGAAAAUAUAAUGGCAUAGAAGCCAAAUGAUGAUAAUUUGUAGCCCACUAUAACCCCAAUGAGGAAUCUACGAUGAAUGUCCCCCAGUUGCUUUCCAGUAAGUACUCGAUAUGAGAAUUUGAGGAUUUUUCAAACGGCGUCCCAAUUUGUUUAAAUAGUAGGAAAGUCCUCAAGUCUGUACUUUGCCGCAUCCCAUAGUCCAAAUCCUUGGAAUGAUGUAGAGCAUCCUAAGGACACCUGUAACUUGGCUUUGUUUCCAACAGCCUUCCAGACGCUUUAGAUGUUGUAGUGCUAAGAGGAUUUCAUCCUAAAUAGACCUGUCUUCGUGGGAAUACCAGUGUGGAAGAUAAGAUAAGCUUUUACUUUAUUUUUUUCUGUUGUUAAAGUAAAGUCAAGUUGCUUCUCAUUCUUAACUGUAAACUUUUUGUGUGCACAUAAUUAGGUACAUUUUGACUAGUUUUUGUAAUUAAUAGGGGGGUUCUAGUUGUUUUUUUUUAAUAAAAUAGGAUUUCAAAUAAAUAUUAAAUACAUAAUGGAUAAUAAUAAUUGAAAAUAAAUCAAGUUUUUAAAAUGUAAUAGAGAAGAGAAAUAGGGGUAUUAAAGGGUUACCAACAAGAGUAAUUUUCAAAGUUAAAAGGGUUUUUACAAACAAAAUUUAAUUAAAAGAGUUUCUGACCGACUCAUAUCUAGUGUUUUCUGUAUAUCUCCAGUAUCUAUGUUGUAAGUAUACUACGAGCACAUAGAUCUGGAACGUUAGCUACUUGGACACUUGUCAGUCCCAGGACCAUCAUUUAUAUACUAACAUUUGGCUAUUCUCCCGGACUUGAUUAUUGAAUCUUACUAAUAUUUGUUUACUUGGCACAAUAGUGGUGAUUUUUGCUAUUUAUUAGUGGUCUUUUGGCCGUAUCUAUUUCUACACCACUAUUGUUUAUAUUACUGUAGGCUGUUACAUAUAUAAGUAAAAGCUAUUUUGAUAUUCGUUAGUAUAUUUAUUGUAAAUAUAUUUGUCAAUAGUA